GACGAACGCUGGCGGCGUGCUUAACACAUGCAAGUCGAGCGGUAAGGCCCUUUCGGGGUACACGAGCGGCGAACGGGUGAGUAACACGUGGGUGACCUGCCCUCAGCUCUGGGAUAAGCCCGGGAAACUGGGUCUAAUACCGGAUAUGACUUCAUGACGCAUGUUGUGGAGUGGAAAGCCUUGUGCGGCUGAGGAUGGGCCCGCGGCCUAUCAGCUUGUUGGUGGGGUGAUGGCCUACCAAGGCGACGACGGGUAGCCGGCCUGAGAGGGCGACCGGCCGACACUGGGACUGAGAUACGGCCCAGACUCCUACGGGAGGCAGCAGUGGGGAAUCUUGCGCAAUGGGCGAAAGCCUGACGCA
rnacentral:rRNA from 1 species